GAAAUGGUCUCCAGUGUGGCUGCAGCACGUCCAUUUGACAAUCCUGACCUCGGUGGUGGCAAAUCUUCCUUGUUUCCUGGUGGAUUUAACUUUGCAGAAGGACCAGCAGACAUCCUGACCCAAACCUGAUGGAUGAGAUUGGUGUAAAGUGGAGAAAUUCUGUUUUGGAUUAAUCACAAGGAGAUUUAAAAAACGAGAGAUUUUCUGUAGUGCUGAACAGAAGUGAGGGAAGACGAUGCCAGUGACAGCAGAACA
rnacentral:lncRNA from 10 species